AUUGAACGCUGGCGGCAGGCCUAACACAUGCAAGUCGAACGAGUGGCGGACGGGUGAGUAAUGUCUGGGAAACGGCCUGAUGGAGGGGGAUAACGACUGGAAACGGUAGCUAAUACCGCAUACCAUCGGAUGUGCCAAGAUGGGAGUAGCUAGGAGGUGGGGUAAAGGCUCACCUAGGCGACGAUCCCUAGCUGGUCUGAGCGGAUGACCAGCCACACUGGAACUGAGACACGGUCCAGCCUCCUACGGGAGGCAGCGGUGGGGAAUAUUGCACAAUGGGCGCAAGCCUGAUGCAGCCAUGCCGCGUGUAUGAAGAAGGCCUUCGGGUUGUAAAGUACUUUCAGCGGGGAGGCGUUACCCGCAGAAUAAGCACCGGCUAACUCCGUGCCAGCAGCCGCGGUAAUAC
rnacentral:rRNA from 1 species